AAACUUUGUAGGAGUGGGACAUGAACAGUUGUCAAUCUGUCUCCCACAGAAACCACACAUGCUAUUCUGGGUCAGCCAUAUCUCUUGUCUCCAGUGAGUCUGCACCAUAACUAGUCAUAUGCACGGAACACAGCUCAACCCUGAGCUUUGGAGAAGACCAGAAGAAACUCCCACAGAGGGAGAGUUGCCAGUAUGCUACUCUGCAGCCUGCUCUGGAUGAUCACAGCCUCCAUAUGCCUGGAGUGGAGCAUGGCUGAUUCGGUCACUCAAAGCUCACGAGCAAUAACUGUUCAGGAUGGGAAAUCUGUGAGCCUGGAUUGUGCGUAUGAUACCAAUGAAGCCUAUUAUGCUUUGUACUGGUACAAACAAUCUCCUAAUGGAGAGCUUAUUUAUAUCAUUUACCAAUAUUCUCAAUCCAAUAGUAGAAAAAGUGGCAGAUAUUCUGUGACCUUCCGAAAAUCAGACAGAACCAUCACCCUCAACAUCUUGUCCUCACACCUAAAAGAUUCAGGGAUAUACUUCUGUGGUCUCAGACGAAUGGCACAGUGAAUUAAUUGAGGGACAAGCUGUACAAAAACCCCAACAUGAGACCCCCCCCUUCAUCUGCAC